UACGUAGGGUGCGAGCGUUAAUCGGAGUUACUGGGCGUAAAGAGUGCGUAGGCGGUUUGUUAUGUCUGCUGUGAAAGCCCCGGGCUUAACCCGGGAAUGGCAGUGGAAACUGGCGGGCUUGAGUGUGGCAGAGGGGGGUGGAAUUCCGCGUGUAGCAGUGAAAUGCGCAGAUAUCAGGAGGAACACCGGUGGCGAAGGCGGGUCUCUGGGCCGAUACUGACGCUGAGGAGCGAAAGCGUGGGGAGCGAACAGG
rnacentral:rRNA from 1 species